ACAAUGGUAGAACGCAAGAAACGGAAACAGAU
rnacentral:sRNA from 1 species